GGGCCCGCACAAGCGGUGGAGUAUGUGGUUUAAUUCGAUGCAACGCGAAGAACCUUACCAGGGUUUGACAUCCUGCGAAUCUCUUGGAAACAGGAGAGUGCCUUCGGGAACGCAGUGACAGGUGGUGCAUGGCUGUCGUCAGCUCGUGUCGUGAGAUGUUCCGUUAAGUCGGAUAACGAGCGCAACCCUUACCCUUAUUUGCCAGCGAUUCGGUCGGGAACUAUAAGGGGACUGCCGGUGAUAAACCGGAGGAAGGUGAGGACGACGUCAAGUCAUCAUGGCCCUUACGAGUAGGGCUACACACGUGCUACAAUGGUAUCUACAACAGGAAGCAAGACUGCGAAGUUAAGCAAAUCCCUAAAAGAUACCUCAGUUCGGAUUGCACUCUGCAACUCGAGUGCAUGAAGCUGGAAUUACUAGUAAUCG
rnacentral:rRNA from 1 species